rnacentral:rRNA from 1 species
UACGUAGGGGGCAAGCGUUGUCCGGAUUUAUUGGGCGUAAAGCGCACGUAGGCGGCUUUGCAAGUCCGAUGUGAAAUCCCUCGGCUUAACCAAGGAAGUGCAUCGGAAACUGCAGAGCUUGAGUACUUAAGAGGAUCGCGGAAUUCCCGGUGUAGAGGUGAAAUUCGUGGAUAUCGGGAGGAACACCAGUGGCGAAGGCGGCGAUCUGGGAAGAUACUGACGCUGAGGUGCGAAAGCGUGGGGAGCAAACAGG